CCUGGACACAUUUACAAUAACACAGAUGGAUUUACAAAAUACCGAAUUGCCUGUUUCAUGUGAAUUACCAUUACCUGAGAAUGAAGCCAAGCUACCGAACACCGGACCACCCAGGGGAACAAUUAAGCGAUACUUUACCUCCCAGCUCUCUUCAGCAGUUCGUAUGUUUCAGCACGAAUCCUUUGUGCUCAGGUUAGAUGGCCGCCAUUUCAG